rnacentral:rRNA from 1 species
CCUGACUGCUAUCGGAUUGAUACUAAGCCAUGCGAGUCUUUGUAGUAAUACAAGGCAGACGGCUCAGUAACACGUAGUCAACCUACCCUAUGGACAAGAAUAAUCUCGGGAAACUGGGCAUAAUUCUUGAUAGAUCAUAAUGCCUGGAAUGGUUUAUGGUUAAAAUGAUUCGUCGCCAUAGGAUGGGACUGCGGCCUAUCAGCUUGUUGGUGAGGUAAUGGCCCACCAAGGCGAUUACAGGUACGGGCUCUGAGAGGAGAAGCCCGGAGAUGGGUACUGAGACACGGACCCAGGCCCUAUGGGGCGCAGCAGGCGAGAAAACUUUGCAAUGUGCGAAAGCACGACAAGGUUAAUCCGAGUGAUUUCUGCUAAAGAAAUCUUUUGCCAGUCAUAAAACCACUGGUGAAUAAGGGGUGGGCAAGUUCUGGUGUCAGCCGCCGCGGUAAAACCAGCACCUCAAGUGGUCAGGAUGAUUAUUGGGCCUAAAGCAUCCGUAGCCGGCUUUGUAAGUUUUCGGUUAAAUCCAUGUGCUCAACGCAUGGGCUGCCGAAAAUACUGCAUAGCUAGGGAGUGGGAGAGGUAGACGGUACUCGGUAGGAAGGGGUAAAAUCCUUUGAUCUAUCGAUGACCACCUGUGGCGAAGGCGGUCUACCAGAACACGUUCGACGGUGAGGGAUGAAAGCUGGGGGAGCAAACCGGAUUAGAUACCCGGGUAGUCCCAGCUGUAAACGAUGCAGACUCGAUGAUGCAUUGGCAUAUAGCCAGUGCAGUGUCGCAGGGAAGCCGUUAAGUCUGCCGCCUGGGAAGUACGUACGCAAGUAUGAAACUUAAAGGAAUUGGCGGGGGAGCACCACCAAGGGGUGAAGCCUGCGGUUC